UUUCUGCAGUUUGGGUAACUAUAUCAAUAUGCUUUGUUUCCUUUGUAAUUCCAUGUAUUUUAUUUUACACAGUUUAAAACAAUAUUCUGAGAAGGAGUCUGUAAGCCUUUAGCUGUCCACGGAAAUUCACAGCACAAAAGGCAAAGAACCCCUGGGAUGGAGCCAGCCUAUGUGGAGAUGCCCAGAAAGAAUCUUCAGGGACUAUUCUUUGAUUAAUUCAUCAGUUUCUUGAACAUAAUAAACAGAGAUGAGGAAUUGGCCCCUAUAAGGAGUCCCGAAAGUUGCAAGAGCCGUGUGACAGCCCAUCUCCAAAAUGACAUUGCUCUUUGUGUUGGCAUAUGAGUCACAGACUCUGGCCAGCUCUUCUGAAAAGAUGCUACAAGUACUCCAGAGUACUAUAAAUAUCCAAGGAAAGACAGAAACUUAAUUCAUGAUUUUCUCCAGUUUAAAUUCAUAGGUAAGAGAUAAACAUUUUUAUUAUUCCUUCUCAAUAAUAAAAAAAAUAUAUAACACUGAUUUUCUG
rnacentral:lncRNA from 1 species